CAAGGUUCGCAUAACAGCGAUUAAAAGGGAAUGUGAGUGAGAAUCUCCAACUGUCCCGCAGCUGUGAGUUCCUUUAUAAGUCUCCAAGAUGACAUCCACUGUCAAUAAUGAUGGGAAGGAUUUGGAGAAUGGAACAAAGUCAGAAGACCUGCCUUGAAGAA
rnacentral:ncRNA from 1 species